rnacentral:rRNA from 2 species
UGGGGAAUAUUGCACAAUGGGCGCAAGCCUGAUGCAGCCAUGCCGCGUGUAUGAAGAAGGCCUUAGGGUUGUAAAGUACUUUCAGCGGGGAGGAAGGUGAUAAGGUUAAUACCCUUAUCAAUUGACGUUACCCGCAGAAGAAGCACCGGCUAACUCCGUGCCAGCAGCCGCGGUAAUACGGAGGGUGCAAGCGUUAAUCGGAAUUACUGGGCGUAAAGCGCACGCAGGCGGUCAAUUAAGUCAGAUGUGAAAGCCCCGAGCUUAACUUGGGAAUUGCAUCUGAAACUGGUUGGCUAGAGUCUUGUAGAGGGGGGUAGAAUUCCAUGUGUAGCGGUGAAAUGCGUAGAGAUGUGGAGGAAUACCGGUGGCGAAGGCGGCCCCCUGGACAAAGACUGACGCUCAGGUGCGAAAGCGUGGGGAGCAAACAGG